GAGAAGAACGCAGCGAAAUGCGAUAAGUAAUGUGAAUUGCAGAAUUCAGUGAAUCAUCGAAUCUUUGAACGCACAUUGCGCCCCCUGGUAUUCCGGGGGGCAUGCCUGUCCGAGCGUCAUUACAACCCUCAAGCUCAGCUUGGUGUUGGGCCCCGCCGCCCCGGCGGGCCCUAAAGUCAGUGGCGGUGCCGUCCGGCUCCGAGCGUAGUAAUUCUUCUCGCUCUGGAGGUCCGGUCGUGUGCUCGCCAGCAACCCCCAAUUUUUUUCAGGUUGACCUCGGAUCAGGUAUGGAUACCCGCUGAACUUAAGCAUAUCAAUAAGCGGAGGA
rnacentral:misc_RNA from 1 species